UACGGAGGGUGCAAGCGUUGUCCGGAUUUAUUGGGUUUAAAGGGUGCGUUGGCGGCCCGUUAAGUCAGCGGUGAAAUCCCAGGGCUCAACCCUGGAACUGCCGUUGAUACUGGCGGGCUUGAGUUCGGUCGAGGCGGGCGGAACUGGUGGUGUAGCGGUGAAAUGCAUAGAUACCACCAAGAAACCCGAUUGCGUAGGCAGCUCGCUAGGCCGAAACUGACGCUGAGGCACGAAAGCGUGGGGAGCGAACAGG
rnacentral:rRNA from 1 species